UUUUUUCCACUGUACAGCAUGGGGACCCAGUACACAUACAUGUAUACACUCUUUUUUCUCCCAUUGUCGUGCUGCGAUGUAAGUAUCUAGACAACAUAGUUCUCAAUGCUACACAGCAGGAUCUCAUUGUUAAUCCAUUCCAAGAGCACUACUUUGUAUCUGUUAACCCCAAGCUCCCGAUCCAUCCCACUCCCUCCGUCUUCCCCCUGGGCAGCCACAAGUCCAUUCUCCAUGUCCAUGAUUUUCUUUUCUGUGGAAAGGUUCAUUUGUGCCAUAUAUUAGAUUCCAGAUAUAAGUGAUAUCAUAUGGUAUUUGUCUUUCUCUUUCUGACUUACUUCACUCAGUAUGAGAGUCUCUAGUUCCAUCCAUGUUGCUGCAAAGGGCAUUAUUUCAUUCUUUUUUAUGGCUGAGUUGUAUUCCAUUGUUUAUCUAUACCACAUCUUCCUAAUCCAAUCAUCUGUUGAUGGACCUUUGGGUUGGUUCCAUGUCUUGGCUAUUCUGAAUAGUGCUGCAAUGAACAUGUGGGAGCGUGUGUCUUUUUUAAGGAAAGUUUUGUCUGGAUAUAUGCCCAAGAGUGGGAUUGCUGGGUAAUAUGGUAGUUCUAUGUAUAGAUUUCUAAGGUACUUCCAUACUGUUCUCCACAGUAGAUGUACGAGCUUCCUAAGAUAGAGAUGAUAAGGCAUAUUUUUUUGUUGUUGUUGAGGAAGAAAUUUAAUGUAUGUGAAUAUCCCAGCUCUUGUGGGAGUUUCCUUUGUGCUUUUAGAAACUGUCCAAAGAAGUUUGUGGUUCUUUCCACUUUGGUGGGUGUUAUAUAAAAUACAUGAAAGAAUAGCUUUUUAUGCUUUAAAGAACUGGGGUGAUGACUCUGUUGCUUAGUAAACACCCCUGAAGUGGGUGGAGCACAUGCAUAUGAAGAGCAUGAGCAUUUUCUCAUUUGGUUGGACAAAAGUGACAUCUCCCCUUCCUUUAUAGCUUUACAGAAUGGAUGGAGGGGCCAACAGCACUUCAUUUCUUCUCACCAAGCCUGACAUAGACUAUGCCUGCUUUCAUUGCUUUCAGAAAUAAUUAGGUGUUGAAAGCUCUGACUAAAAGGAUUAGAGAUACGAAUAACAACUUGACAGAUCAAAUCAAAUACCUUCUGAUUUUAUUACAUUACUAAGUCAAUUAUUAUUUCUUGUCACAUUAAUUAUGGCAGGAGUUAUAAAAAUGUGUCUUCCAAUAAUUCCCUAACUAAAUCAUUAUGGGCAUAGUCUUGUCGUGAAUCUGUGUAACAUCAAGGGUACCACUUUGUCCAACAGUGGAGGAGGGACUGAAAAGAGGGAUGGAGUUCUAUAUUAAUUUUUGUAUUGAUUAUUCAUGAAGUAUCCACUCUGUGUUAGGCACUGGACCUAUUAAAGAUACUGGGGGUAUGAAAAUAAAAAGAUUCAGCUACUCUCAAGAAGCUCACACCUCUGAGGGUGAGGCAGGCCUACAAAUAGAUAAAUCCAUUUUAAGAUGGAGUGAAGUGAAGGGCUCAGGAAGUGAGUGAAGGAGGCUUAAUUAUGAUGGUAUAUUCAGAGAGGUCUUCACAGAGGAUUUCCUGUUUGGAUCUCCUGCUGUUAUCACAUAGUAUAUUAAUUCUAGUCAGUUUCUGGGUAGAAGACAUUUUGCUGAACAAGAUCUUUGCUAGUAGAAUAAAUGACCCAGGAACAUGCUGAAAAGAUGCAUCAAGACCUAGAGAACAAUCACAUUGUUACUCUGCCCCCAACAAUACACAUGCCCAAAGUUUUUAAAUGAGACCAAGGUUACUUAAUGUUGAAUCAAAAUAUUAAGGUUUACUUCAGUGUAUGACAUGCACUUAGAGGUAUACUUGAGCUUGAGUGUCCUUCUCAUGAGCCAAGCUUGAGGCUAAGCACAUCCUACUACCUGAGCUCAUUUAACCCUCUCAUACUCCUCUUGAAGAAGACAUUAGUCUCAAUGAUUUGCAGAUAGGAUGUUUAGAAUUAGAGGGGUUGAGUUACCUACUAUGAUCACACAGCUAGUAUGCAGCAGUACUAAGGUUCAGACUUGUUUAUCAAUGAUUUAAAAGAUCAUUCCAUUGUGAUAUGGAGCAAUGUAAAAUACAGACAUCGUUUUUCACAAGAUGGGUCAGAAUAAAUAAAUGACUUGCUCUAGAUGAUAAAGCAACUUAGUGGCAGAGCUGUAAUUUGGACUCCAAAUAUACAAACUGCCACCAGGUAACUUUAUUCUCUUUUCAAAGGAUAUUUGAAAUCACAGUGUGUAGUCCUGGGCAUCUUAUAACCUAUGCAUAUAUGAUACACAGAGAGUGCAGCAGAGUCCCCCCAAAAAAACAGUACAUGAAAGAGCCUGUAAGGUAGAACUUCUACAGCUAACUAUAUGUGUUCAAAUCUUGUUUUAGCUCCUUUCUAUCUGUGUGACCUUCAGUAAACUAUUGAUCUUUUCUGAGAUGAACCCUUUCCUGAUGCUCAUUACAUUAAGAAGGACAUUCUACCUCCAGCCAUGGCCUCAUGUCUUCAUAUGACCCAUAUGCCACUCACAGAAUUAUCAUACACUGCCUAAUUCUUUUGAGUACCCUCCCAAACUGGCUGGGACAGCGUCACACACAAUUUCCCACUUGGGAUGGGAAACUUUCUUGUGACUUAAAGAAUCUGCUCAGAUUCUUGAUUUCCAUGAAGAUCACAAUGAGAGAAGACAAAGCCUGAGCUUCUACACUGACCACGUGACACUGACUCUUGUUGAAUUCACUCAAGGAAGAGUUCUACCCUAUUCAGGGCCCCCACAGCUCUCUGCUAACCUGGUUUCCUUACCUUUCUCAGCUCCUGCCCAAGAUACAAGUUAUUUUCUAUUGAAUGUAUGGGAGUUACUUAUCACUUCAAGUACGUUGAUCACCAGCCAAAGACAGUCCAGAGGAAGUUUUCUAGUGUUCUACCUUUGGACUUCUCUUAACCAGUAUUUUGGUUGCAACAUUUCUAUCUCUGGGUAAGAUUAUAAAAGGCAUGAACCUAAGACUCUAGGAGAUAUUUAAAGGUAAAUUAAUGUACUGGAUAAAGAUGGAAUUUGGAUGAUAACUAAGAUACCCCCCCAUUUUAGGAUCUCAUUUUGUAUAAUUCUACUUAUUGCAAUUUUCUGAGAACAAAUUAAUUCAUUCAUAAAACAGAAUUGUAAAGCCUUAGUGUUUGAAGUUAGAAGAUCAGUAAAAACAAUGUCCUAGGACUUCAUCCAAUUCUAGGUUGUACUAUUAUGGGACUGACAGUUUUAGUUUUUGUGGUUUUUAAUGACUGCUGUUGGCUCAGCCUACUCUGGAAUCCAAGAUUAUGUAGCUAAUGCUCACUCACUUUUUAGUAUUUACAUAAUUGGUCCCUAACAGAGUUAAUUUUGUUCUAAUUUGCCAGAUUUUAUACUCUAAUUAUGUAUUUUGCCAGAAGUUGAAGAUUUUUCCAGUAAUCUCUACUCAAGAGGGAGGCAGAUCUUCCUAUAUGCAGUGGCUGAAACAAUUUGGCCCAAAUGGUUGAUGCCACAGGCAAAAUAUCCAAAGAUUGUUCACUUGAAAAUUAUGACUCUUUUUCAGUAUUUUACAUUGAAUUAUUUGUUUUAUGGACUAUUCAGUAUGCAUUGCACCAACACUAAUUACUGUACUAAUAAGUCAGCGUGUUACCAAGAUGUUUUGCCAUUAUAAUCACAGCCACAUGUUGUUGUCCUUCUCAAAUAGUCCAGGCUUAAUUGCAUCAUUUUUCAGGAGGAUUUAUGUGGUGUAGCUUAAUUCAAAAUUAGUACAUGAAUAAAUGAAGUGCAAACUAUUUUCUGCACUGACUCACAUGCAGAAUAAAUGUUCCAGAGAGUAGAGUAGCCAAAAUUUCAUGUUCCCAGUUGUCUGUGUAAUUUCCAUGUUGAGCCUCCAGUAGUCAUUUAUGGAAUAGGGGCUCAAAAAAUGGCAGAAGAAUCUCAGUGAAUAUGUAGAAAGAGCAUUAUGCAAAGUACUAGGAACAUGGGUUCUUGUCCCUGCCAUUCAUUUGUCAUAUGGCUCUUAGGGAUUAUUUUUCUUUUCUGAGACCUCAAUUUCCUCAUCUAAAAAUGUAGCAAGUUAUUCAAAUGAUCUCUGAUUCUCUUUACUGUCUUCCAUAAUAAUGUUUUACUUGCAUUAGUGUAGUUCUAUGAAGGUAAUAUUAAAAACCUGCCUGCCCUUAAAAGAAUGCCUAUUCUUUCCCAUGCUAAAAUUAAUAAUGGUGCCUAAAAUGGAAAUAACAUAAUCAUUUGAAUUCUACAUUCUUUAAGUUGAACCAUUUCCAACAUUAGCCUAUAUAACCCCUUCCUUACACUUUCAUUACUUUAAUUAUUUUUUCUGUUAUCCUCUUCCUUUUCCUUCCUGUGUUCAUAACCUGGCAUUUACAUGUAUGCACAUAUUGGUAUUCUGGUUUUUGGGAGCUGGGCCUUCACUGAAGAUAGCUUUGUAUAUUUGUGUGGAAGAAUGUUCAGUUUAGGCCCCUGGCUCUGUACUCUUAGAUUUUCCUUUAGUUUGUGAUGUUAAGUUCUAAUAAUUUAAACUAAAUUCUAGAUGAUGUAAAACUUGGCCUAGAAGACACACUCUUCUGCUUUCUUGCAUAUAACACUCAGGCAGGGUAGCAAGCUGUGAAGAGUACCACAAAAUUCUUCACAAAGAAAACCAGCCCUUGCCCUAGAUGUUCCUAUUAACCACUCAUGUUUUGUUUCUGCAAAGAACCUGGAUUAAAGGGAGAUUUUUUUUUAAAGCAUAGGACUACCUAUAAAGACUGGGAGAAUGGGAAGAGAGAAAUAAUUAUCAAGGGUUAUAUGCUAUAGAGGGCUUCAAAUCGCAUCUUGCUUCUGCCCUAUUCAGGCACAUCUAUGAAACUUGUUUUCUUCAUCUAUAAAUUACUUAAAUGACUAAAUGAGUAACAUAUAAAUCAGUCUCUCAAACCCCUAAAAAGUAAUGGUUUCCUAUGUACUUAAAGGCAACCUAAUGAAUACAUGUGGUUGGUGGUGAGAACAUUUCAGGUUGUGAUAAGGGCAUCAACAAAAAAUGCGGAGGUGGAAAAGCAAGGUGUGCUUGGAGGUCCCCAAAGUGGAACGAAAGCUUCAAAAAGAAGUAGAAUAGUAUAGAAUGAGAGAUGGUGGCCAGAUCAUAGGGGUCUCUGGAUAUCAAAAGGUAGAAGUGAACUUUAUAUUGGUUCUAUGAGAAAGGAUUAAAUGAUGGAAUCUUGAAUUCACAGUGAGGAGUUUUCACGGUCUCCACCAGCCCAGGAA
rnacentral:lncRNA from 1 species